rnacentral:rRNA from 1 species
UACAGAGGGUGCGAGCGUUAAUCGGAAUUACUGGGCGUAAAGCGUGCGUAGACGGUUAUUUAAGUCGGGUGUGAAAGCCCCGGGCUCAACCUGGGAAUUGCAUUCGAGACUGAAUAGCUAGGGUACGGUAGAGGGAAGUGGAAUUUCCGGUGUAGCGGUGAAAUGCGUAGAUAUCGGAAGGAACAUCAGUGGCGAAAGCGACCUCCUGGACCAGUACCGACGUUCAGGCACGAAAGCGUGGGGAGCAAACAGG